GAUCCUGGCUUAGGAUGAACGCUAGCUACAGGCUUAACACAUGCAAGUCGAGGGGCAGCAUGAAACUUAGCUUGCUAAGUUUGAUGGCGACCGGCGCACGGGUGAGUAACACGUAUCCAACCUACCGUUUACUACGGGAUAGCCUUCUGAAAAGGAGAUUAAUACCGUAUGGUAUUCUAAAGUUUCAUGACAUUAGAAUUAAAGGUUUACCGGUAAUCGAUGGGGAUGCGUUCCAUUAGAUAGUAGGCGGGGUAACGGCCCACCUAGUCAGCGAUGGAUAGGGGUUCUGAGAGGAAGGUCCCCCACAUUGGAACUGAGACACGGUCCAAACUCCUACGGGAGGCAGCAGUGAGGAAUAUUGGUCAAUGGGCGAGAGCCUGAACCAGCCAAAAGUAGCGUGAAGGAUGACUGCCCUAUGGGUUGUAAACUUCUUUUAUAAAGGAAUAAAGUGGUCCACGUGUGGAUUUUUGUAUGUACUUUAUGAAUAAGGAUCGGCUAACUCCGUGCCAGCCGCCGC
rnacentral:rRNA from 1 species